GUCUACAGCCAUACCUCCCUGAAAAAACGCCUGAUCUCAGAAGAUAAGCAGGGUCACACCUGGUUAGUGCUUGGACGGGAGGACGUGUAUGGUGAGAAAAUUGUUUCUGGGAGUUGUAAUCA
rnacentral:rRNA from 1 species